GGGGCUGUAGCUCAAUCGGUAGAGCGUCUCGCUGGCAGUGAGAAGGCAGUCGGUUCGAUCCCGACCAGUUCCA
rnacentral:tRNA from 1 species